AUUGAACGCUGGCGGCAGGCCUAACACAUGCAAGUCGAGCGGCAGCGGGAAAGUAGCUUGCUACUUUUGCCGGCGAGCGGCGGACGGGUGAGUAAUGCCUGGGGAAUUGCCCAGUCGAGGGGGAUAACAGUUGGAAACGACUGCUAAUACCGCAUACGCCCUACGGGGGAAAGCAGGGGACCUUCGGGCCUUGCGCGAUUGGAUAUGCCCAGGCGGGAUUAGCUAGUUGGUGAGAUAAUGGCUCACCAAGGCGACGAUCCCUAGCUGGUCUGAGAGGAUGAUCAGCCACACUGGAACUGAGACACGGUCCAGACUCCUACGGGAGGCAGCAGUGGGGAAUAUUGCACAAUGGGGGAAACCCUGAUGCAGCCAUGCCGCGUGUGUGAAGAAGGCCUUCGGGUUGUAAAGCACUUUCAGCGAGGAGGAAAGGUUGAUGCCUAAUACGUAUCAACUGUGACGUUACUCGCAGAAGAAGCACCGGCUAACUCCGUGCCAGCAGCCGCGGUAAUAC
rnacentral:rRNA from 1 species